rnacentral:rRNA from 1 species
UACGGAGGGGGCUAGCGUUGUUCGGAAUUACUGGGCGUAAAGCGCACGUAGGCGGACUGUUAAGUCGGGGGUGAAGUCCUGGGGCUCAACCUCAGAAUUGCCUCCGAUACUGGCAGUCUCGAGUGCGGGAGAGGUGAGUGGAAUUCCCAGUGUAGAGGUGAAAUUCGUAGAUAUUGGGAAGAACACCAGUGGCGAAGGCGGCUCACUGGCCCGUAACUGACGCUGAGGUGCGAAAGCGUGGGGAGCAAACAGG